UAUCGGAACGUACCCUGGAGUGGGGGAUAACGUAGCGAAAGUUACGCUAAUACCGCAUACGAUCUAAGGAUGAAAGUGGGGGCUUCGCAAGAACCUCAUGCUCCUGGAGCGGCCGAUAUCUGAUUAGCUAGUUGGUGGGGUAAAGGCCUACCAAGGCAUCGAUCAGUAGCUGGUCUGAGAGGACGACCAGCCACACUGGAACUGAGACACGGUCCAGACUCCUACGGGAGGCAGCAGUGGGGAAUUUUGGACAAUGGGCGAAAGCCUGAUCCAGCAAUGCCGCGUGAGUGAAGAAGGCCUUCGGGUUGUAAAGCUCUUUUGUCAGGGAAGAAACGGUGAGAGCUAAUAUCUCUUGCUAAUGACGGUACCUGAAGAAUAAGCACCGGCUAACUACGUGCCAGCAGCCGCGGUAAUACGUAGGGUGCAAGCGUUAAUCGGAAUUACUGGGCGUAAAGCGUGCGCAGGCGGUUUUGUAAGUCUGUCGUGAAAUCCCCGGGCUCAACCUGGGAAUUGCGAUGGAGACUGCAAGGCUAGAAUCUGGCAGAGGGGGGUAGAAUUCCACGUGUAGCAGUGAAAUGCGUAGAGAUGUGGAGGAACACCGAUGGCGAAGGCAGCCCCCUGGGUCAAGAUUGACGCUCAUGCACGAAAGCGUGGGGAGCAAACAGGAUUAGAUACCCUGGUAGUCCACGCCCUAAACGAUGUCUACUAGUUGUCGGGUUUUAAUUAACUUGGUAACGCAGCUAACGCGUGAAGUAGACCGCCUG
rnacentral:rRNA from 1 species